ensembl:lncRNA
CCAGCUCACUACUCCCUGAAGGGCACUUUCAAGAAAGUUCAAUCAAUGGAAGGGUCAAAUGUUUUCUUUUUCAAACGUCCAUUUUGCAUGUAAUGGCUGCUCCAUGCAGAGUUUACGGGUGUUCUCUUGUUCAUGAGAUCUAGCGUCCUUCUGCACAAAUGCAUGUGCUAUGGGUAAGAAAUUACUUCAACUGAGUUUAUUGGCAUUUCUUAGAGCAUAUGAGUUCAAAGAAAAUUAUUACAGGUCUUGGAAAAAUGGACUUCCACUUAACAGAAGGAAAUAUGGAGUCUUCAAGAAGUUAAGUCACAAACCUCAAGCUACAUAAGUCACUGGUCAGCUCUGUGGAUGAGCAGCUCUCCUGAGGGGCACUGUGUACCCUGGGGGCUCCCUCUGUGAGUGUGGAGGCAGUGCCACGGAUCCCUGGAGUCUUGGUGCUCUGGAGAGCUCUCUGUUUCUGACCAACGUGACGCAUUUUCUUUAAUUCCCAGUUGUCACACUGCAGACAUUCAUUCUCCUAUCUAUAGCCAUUGUUACUGGGCGUGCUAGAAAUAAUAAGCUGGAGGGAAUAGGGCAGCCUUUCAGAAGACAGACCCAUGAGAAAUAACCCCAAAUAGAAGCAGUGAGUUGCCAUUUCUCGCUCACUCAGCUGAUGUUCUGGAGCACUUCUCGUGUGCUAGACUCCAUGAGUGCUGGACGGGAGGGACACCAUAGGCGAAUCUGACCCAACCUGUCUAGCAUAGAACUGCAAAUAAGUAGAAAAGACUGUGUUAUGUUAACCUUGGCCAAGUUAACUUGGACCUUAGUUUCCUAAUGUAAAAGGAGGCUUGGGCCAGGUGGUUCCCUAAGAUGUGUUUUAAUUCUCUGAUUCAUAUUUAUAUGAAACUUUACCCUAAGUUCCUUAAAGAAAUCCUAAAGGACAGAGGGAUAUAAAAAGAAACAUAAACAUUUUAAAUGAUUUUAGAACAUCUUAAUUUCCUCUCCAUAAUGUCUUAGAAUGAACUAAUAAUGAUGGCUUCAUCCAGGGAGCCAAUUUUAGCUCAACAUUUAGGAGUCAUUGUGGACAAUUCCCAAGGGCCUCAACUGUCCCUUCCUUUGUUUUCCUUUUUGCCCCUUCUGGUUUGCUUCUGCUCAAGUUUUCCAUGUCAAUUUUUUGCCAUCUCUCCCUGCCUGCUGGUUCCUCCAUAUGGUUUACUGCCCGUGUUAAUUCACUUUUAUUUGACCCCUAGAACCAUCCAUCAAAUUCUCAUGUGGCUAUUGGCAUAUCAUUGUUUUAGUAGGGGGCUCAGAGCUUUCCAUUGAUUUCUGGCCAAAAUUCCUGUAACUCUUGCUGCUCUUUCUUCCUCCAUCCUCAUCUGUCUUUAGCUGUUAAAAAGUGAUAUUAGCAUUUAGGGGACUUCCCCCAUCCACUCUCAUAUUUCCUUCCCCCAAAUCUCAGUUUUCAAAAAUGAACAAAGUAAUAAUGCAGGAGACACUAUUAUGCUAAGAAAACCAGGAUUUUACUUAUUAAAGAAGUGGAGAUUCAAAUCAUAAUAGAUUUGAAUUUUCUUUGGAAAACUUAUUACGUUCUAUUAAGUUGUAUGUGAGUUAGGCUCACAAGCUAUGGUUUGUAUUGUUAUAAUUACCAGAUGGAAUAAAGAUUAUAAAACACACUGAAGAAGGAAAUGCAGCUUGAGAAUAUUUUAAAAGUGUUAAUUCAAGGCAUUUCAAUUUUUUUAUUAGCCCCUUUGUAAUUACAAAGUACAAGUUAAAUGAAAGUACAAGCUAAAUGAAACUAAAGAAUAGGAUAAAAGAAGGAAGAUAUUUUAAAGGACUCAAUUUAAUGUAAUUGUCAGACAUUCCCAGUUUUGCCCAAAGGCACCUCCAUCCAUCUGUCCAUCUAUCCAUUCAAUAACUGGGCACUGAAGGGGUAGGCGUAUGGUACAUACAACAAACGAAUUGGAUGUUGUCUCUUCUAUGCAUCUUUCAUUCUAAUGGGUGGAGACCAAAAAACGAGAACAAAAAAACAAGUAAACAAAUAAAAGAACAUAAUAAUUUCAAAAUGUGGUAAGUUCUAUGAGAAAUGGUGGAGGGGAGCAGAUGUUAGAGAAUGCCCUGGGGAACACUUUAGGGUCCUAACGUCUGAGGAGGUGGCAUUGGAGAGGAAGCCUGACGAUGAGAAAGAACUAAUCAUACAGAUAGGCAAACAAAGAGUGUUCUGAGGUGGAAAUAUUAAUGUUCUUUACAGGGAAAAUGAACUCCCACCCCAGAAACGCAUUUUCUGAAAGGGCUUUAAGAUGGUGAGAGAAACGGCCAGUCAGGAGACAGUUGUGUACACCGAACUCUAGCUGAGGAAACAGUAAGUCCUUACAGUGAUGUUUCUAAAGACAGAGAUGAUUCGGGCCUGACUGCCACUUAACCUGUCCUCAUUUUCUCUAUUCAGCCACAGUGACCUCCUUGCCCCUCUUUGAACAUUCUAGGCAUGCUCCCACCUCAAGGCCAGCUCUUCCUCUGUCUAGAAUGCUCUUCCCCCAAAGAGUCACUCUCUUGCUCUCUCACUUCCUUUGGGUCUUUGGUCAAAUAUCACCUUUUCACUGAGGCCUUCUCUGCCCAUCAUAUUUAGAUGUGAAUGCCCUGCUCCUACUAUGGCUGUAUUUGUUUAUUUUCCAUGAAACAUCAUCAGCUUAUGUGAUAUAUAUUAAUUAUUUUGUUUACCAUCCAGCCCUCCCUCCACUAGAAUGUAAACUCCAUGAGGGUAGGAAAUUUCAUCAGCUUUGUUUAGCACAUAACCCCAGGUCCUAGAAUCACACCUAGCAUAUAUUAGGUGCUCUCUCUAUUUGUUAAGUAAUGAAAGAAUAAAUGAAUGGUCACAUUUGCAGAACUAAAGCUCUACCAUUAUAAAAGGAAAUUAUUGUACUUUAGGCUAAACAUGGUAAAUGGAAUCUACGUGUUUAUCUCUAUUGCCUCCAGAAAUGCCUCUAAAAGAAUUUAAAAGGCAUAAACACACAAGGACUAGGAGAACAAGAAGAGACCGCAGCAGAAAAGAGAUUUCAACAAAAUUUUGACGGCUGAUAGUCUUAACUAUUUUGCCAGGCUGGGAAGAGCUGAAACUUAAGCCUGCAGGGAAGAAACCAAUUAGAAACAAGCUGUUUGUGCCAUGGGUCCUUAGAAAGGCUCAGGAUUUGGAGGCAUCUUGUUCCUCCCAUGCACCUUUCUCAGGAAGCUGCUAGAGGAUGUACUCCACCCAAACACGGGAGAAAUCAAGAAGAAAAACCUAGGACUGAGGAAACAGGGAUCUAACAGAAGAGAUAAGUAAAGGAAAUUUCCAGGAUGAGAGUGAAGGGAAGUCCCAGCCUGACCAAUGGUUAGCAGGCCUAGCGAGCAACUGGGCCAAAUUGUAGGAGGAGGACAAAAGACUCCAAGGUUGAUGUCUUGAAAAAGGAAGAAGAAACUGAUAACCUGGUGUAUUUGAACAUACAGAAAGGAGACUUUAUAGUUCUAUCAGAGGAUUUAGAGUUUGUUUAGUUAUAGGAUCAUGGAAAACUAAGCAAAUGAGAAAAGCAAUGAUUAACUUCAGGGAAAACAAAAAGCUAUACAAAAAAGGAAAUGGAAUUAUACUCUACUACUAUGGCUCAACUGUGAAUAAUAUUUACUGGUUCAUCACUAUACAACAUUGAGAGACUGGAGGAGAGCAAGUGUUUGACGUGUGUGGAAAAGUGGUAAUAUAAGAAGAAAGAAACCCAAUAUCUUCCAUAGUUGAGAGUCAGUAGAUACUAUCUAAAACUGAAAAGUCAAAAAAUAAGAGUAGUGACAUUUAGAAAUAUGUAGAUAAAAACAAGAAGAAAUGGCUAAAAAUUGAAAGUGGUGACCUCUGGAAAGCAGGAUUAAGAGUAGGGAGGACUAAACAGGAACUGUAGUUUUUCCUUAGAAGCCAAAUAAACCUUGACUUUCUAAGCUAUGUGCACAGGUUAUAUUUAGAUAUAAAUAAAAACUAAAUAAGAAGAAUUUAUGCUUUCUUAUUAAUCUUGAGGGAAAGAUCUUGAAGAAAGACCUGUUCAUCUUAGGAUACUCAUACAUAGAAGAUAUUUGUUAAAUAAUGAGUGAAUGAAUGAAUGAGAGCUGUCAUGAGCUUCUUUAGAGCUCAGAACACAUCGCUGGCAGCAGGUGGAAUGAUGAGAGGUCCUGCGUCGGGAAACGACUUAAGGAAGCCCAGAGAAGAUGAGCAAUUGCGUACCUCUCCACAAUGAAACCCUGGGGUUUCUGCUCAGUUUAACCUAUUACACAGUGUAAGGCUGGCAAAAAUUGCUCAUUUCCAUAGAGCUGACUCCGCAGAUUUGAAAAGUCCUGAAUGGGAAAUAAAUACGCUGCUCUUAAUAAAUGUCUAGUUAAGGUAUAGUUAAUAUAGUUAAAUGUGAAAGUGUAUAAAUGAUAUAUUUUAAUAGCAUUCAGAGCACAUUUCAGCAUCGAGAUAAAUGCAAACUUAGAAAAAAUUCUAACAUCCUCUAAACACAUUGCCUUAUCAGAGCAAAUGAUAAAUUACUAAAGAAAAAUGUUAUUCUGCAAUGUUUUGAAGAUUAAGUAGAGUAUGAGUGAAAUUAACAUUGUGUGUAAGUGAAGCUGUGACUAUAUCAUGUCAGGGUGGCAAUAAAAUUGCAGAGGGGAGAGAAUUAGAGUUUUAUGCCACAGAAAUGGAAGUAGUUUUCAUUUUAAUUGUUUUUCUUUAAAUGGAUUGUUUCUGUAAUAUACUGUAUUCUUUCCAGUUCACAGAUGUUCAGGAGGGAUAAAAGAGUUAUAAAAUAUUCUAAUGUGGGCCUUUAAAAUAGCUUUUUUGGAACAGAAAAAGAGCAGCUUAAAGAAUUCAGAAUUUUUAAAGUACAAUAAAGCAUUCACAUUGCAAAUUUAGUGAUUCGCCUUUUGUGAUAUAGAAAAACAAAUGGCCUUUUAACAUUUAUGCCACGGCUGGCCUUUUAGUCAAAUA